UGGUGCCUACGGGGGGCAGCAGUGAGGAAUAUUGGUCAAUGGGCGAGAGCCUGAACCAGCCAAGUCGCGUGAGGGAGUACUGCCCUAUGGGUUGUAAACCUCUUUUGUCGGGGAGCAAAAGCCGGACGUGUCCGUCUGUGAGUGUACCCGAAGAAAAAGCAUCGGCUAACUCCGUGCCAGCAGCCGCGGUAAUACGGAGGAUGCGAGCGGUAUCCGGAUUUAUUGGGUUUAAAGGGUGCGCAGGCGGAUUUUUAAGUCAGCGGUCAAAUAGUGGGGCGCAACCCCAUCCAGCCGUUGAAACUGGG
rnacentral:rRNA from 1 species